rnacentral:rRNA from 1 species
CCUACGGGAGGCUGCAGUGGGGAAUAUUGCACAAUGGGCGAAAGCCUGAUGCAGCAACGCCGCGUGAAGGAAGAAGGGUUUCGGCUCGUAAACUUCUAUCAACAGGGACGAAGGAAAUGAGGGUACCGGAAUAAGAAGCCCCGGCAAACCACGUGCCAGCAGCCGCGGAAACACGUAGGGGGCAAGCGUUAUCCGGAAUUACUGGGUGUAAAGGGUGAGUAGGCGGCAUGGUAAGCUAGAUGUGAAAGCCUUGGGCUUAACCCGAGGAUUGCAUAUGGAACUAUAAAGCUAGAGUACAGGAGAGGAAAGCGGAAUUCCCGGUGUAGCGGUGGAAUGCGUAGAUAUUAGGAAGAACACCAGAGGCGAAGGCGGCUUUCUGGACUGAAACUGACGCUGAGGCACGAAAGCGUGGGGAGCGAACAGGAUUAGAUACCCCUGUAGUC